UUCUCUGUGAAUCACCUCUAACUGACUCUGUCAGCAUAUAAACCAUCCAUGGGGUUUAUUGAGGUUUUUAUUUUCUUUAGACGUAAAUAUAAUUAUGUUUUUAAUAUAGGCAUAUGACCAUUCUCUAUCUGAUCUUGUUCGAGAUGCUGCAUAGAAUCGUUAAGUGGGGCUUUUCUUUAUUGAAUUGUUUUUGAAUCUUUAAAAAUAGAAUAAAGAAUCUUCUCAUAAUCUCUCCAUGUCUAAUGUGGGAAUUUUUUUCAUUUGUUUAUAGUACAGAGACAGAAGUGAAAAAAAUCUGCCCACCCUUUCUAGUAGGAGCCUCUUUUUACGCAGUCAGUGUGACAUAAAAAUGGGAUCAGAGAUUAAAGUCGAACGCAACCGGUGUGUUCAGGCCUUUUUAACUUAUGUAACUGUUUUGAAAUUUUUUAAACAGUUUAGAGCUCUGUUUUUCUUGAGGGAAAAAAACCUCAAAACAUUUGAGAUUUUAAUUUGCCUUGAUCAUUAAACUUGUUGUAAUUACCCAUUAAACUUGUCGUAAUUACCCAUGAUUCUUCAUGUUUCCUUUGCUUGGUGGCAAAUUGCAGCUGAUUGAUGUCAAUGAUGGCUUCCUAUCUCUGAUGCUUCUCUCUGGAGAGAUUAAGGACCUCAAAAUUCCAGAUGGGGACUUGGGCAGAGAAAUGGUAAAAAAAUUCCAUGAAGGAGAAGAGAUAAUGGUGUCUGUGUUGAAAGCUGUAGGUGAGGAGCAUGCAGUCGACUUUAAAAUUAUAACUAAAUAGACCACAACAACAUUGGAGACCUCAACUUCCUACUGUCCUGUUUGGUUUGAAGCUUCACCAAAGCUACUGGCCUUCACGGCACAUCUCCACUGGUGUGUCCCACCCUCUCCCCACCUGCUGUCAGCUCUAAUUCUGAAAACUUGGUCAACUUCAGCUGUAAUUCAGACUCAGGCCAGCAUGGCGUCCUUCCUCAGUGCUCUCAGAUGUCAAUCCAUUGCUGUCCUGGCGCCACUGUAUAGCAUAUACCAGGUAUUAGCUGAGGAAUUCUUAACCACGCACCGGUAAAUCUCAACAUUCCUCUUAUAUGGGAAAGUCCAAUUGGGGAGUGUUGUUUUUUACACCAACUAUCUGACUUCAGUUCCUGUUGAAGGUGAAACUGCAUUUCAGUUGUCGUUUCACUUUACAAAUACUCUGCAUUAGUCCAUUAAGCUGGGUUUUGUGUUUGAACAGAGUCAACCCACCCCGACAUUUAAAUGCACACAGCUCAUGCCUUAGCAGAUGCUUAUUUAUGUAGUCUUUUUUUUUUUCCUGCACUUGCACUGCAGAUCUGCAGAUAGGUUUUCUGCUGCAUGUAGUCCAGUCCCAAGGUCGAUGUUUUUUCCAUCUGACAACUGUGCUGCCUCAGCAGCCCAACAUGCUGGAGCAGAGGAGGCUGGGUGGGGCAGUUUGCUCCUCUAUGCUAUAAAACUUCCUUUUUCACUUGAGGCCUUUACAAGCUGACAAAUAUAUAGAAAUCAUUUUAAAGGAACAAAUAUUGAGGUCAUUCAUGACUAUAUGUGUAAAUAUUAGCAAAUCUCACCUUAAGCAAACUGCAGUUAUAGAAGAGCAGUUGCAACGAAGAGGAAAUGAUAGAAUUUAAAGAUUUGCAUGGGGUAUCCUACGUUAAGUGAUAGUAAAGAAUAUUAAAUUGCUGCUUGGUGGCGGUUGGGUGAGUUGUAGAAAACACUUCGGAGACCUUUGUGCAGAGUUUGCAAAUUUUGUAUGAAAAUAUGUUACAAUCCCUUUUUCAGUUAAAUCACCCACAAUGUUACAGUUUAAGAAUAAAUAGUACUAGGACGUUUCGGUACAUUUAGCAUUUUGCAAAAACAUUUUGUUACAUUACAACAUUCCUAACAGAAAUUAGGGCAUAUCUUAACUCUGGACAGAUAAGACCAGCUUGGUUUUAUGCCACUAUUGGAAAAAAAAAAA